rnacentral:rRNA from 1 species
GCAACUCGCCUGCAUGAAGUUGGAAUUGCUAGUAAUCGCGAAUCAGAAUGUCGCGGUGAAUACGUUCCCGGGCCUUGUACACACCGCCCGUCACACCAUGAGAGCCGAUAACACCCGAAGCCUGUGAGCUAACCGUAAGGGGCAGCAGUCGAAGGUGGGGUUGGUGAUUGGGGUGAAGUCGUAACAAGGUAAC